UCCUCCUCCUCCUCAUUUCCUCCUCCUCUUCACCUCCCUCCUUAUCCACCAUAUUCUCCCAUGCCGUGCAUCCCCCUCCUCGCCUUUUCCUCUCCUCUUCCUCUCCCUCCCUCCUUAUGCACCCCAUUCCCCCUCCUCCGUCUGACAGCCUCCGCGGGCCCCGGGCCGGGCAGUAAGGUGCCAGGGCGCACGUGGAGCCGCUGGGCAUCCUGUUGGUCUCCACUCUUGGAAGUUGGGAUCGAGCAGGCCAUUCCCGGCCGUUUGCCGGGAAGCAACGAGUUUAGCACACAAUCCUCAACAUAUGGCUUUUUGAAUUCUGACGAACAGCACAGCACUUUGAACAUUCUAAAUUAGCACCCUGUUGUAGCUUUAUGACAACGCGUCCACCAUUUUCCACCCUAGCUUCCUUCAUAACACUGCCAAAAUGGACGGGUCCACUCUCCCUGGUGAUGAGGUGCAAAUCUCGAAAUGGAUCAAGACCAAGUAAUCGCUGCUGGAGAAACCGAAUUUUGCUGAGUUUACAACCAGAUUUGCUGAAGAGCUUUUCUCGAUGGGCUGGGAACAGCGGAGGCCCCGUCCUGAGGUGAUCUGCAGUCCAAGAAGAAUUUCUAAAAGCAGUCAAUGAAGAGUCGCCGGUUCAGACUUAGAAGAGAGAGGAACAAGAUAAAAAAACCCAUCGGAAU